rnacentral:rRNA from 1 species
AGAGUUUGAUCCUGGCUCAGGAUGAACGCUGGCGGUCUGCUUAACACAUGCAAGUCGAACGGGACUCUUCGGAGUUCAGUGGCGGACGGGUGAGUAACGCGUGAGAAUCUGGCUUCGGGUUCGGGACAACAGUGGGAAACUGCUGCUAAUACCGGAUGUGCCGCAAGGUAAAAGAUUAAUUGCCCGAAGAUGAGCUCGCGUCCGAUUAGCUAGUUGGUGUGGUAAGAGCGCACCAAGGCGUCGAUCGGUAGCUGGUCUGAGAGGACGAUCAGCCACACUGGGACUGAGACACGGCCCAGACUCCUACGGGAGGCAGCAGUGGGGAAUUUUCCGCAAUGGGCGAAAGCCUGACGGAGCAAUACCGCGUGAGGGAGGAAGGCUCUUGGGUUGUAAACCUCUUUUCUCAGGGAAGAACACAAUGACGGUACCUGAGGAAUCAGCAUCGGCUAACUCCGUGCCAGCAGCCGCGGUAAUACGGAGGAUGCAAGCGUUAUCCGGAAUGAUUGGCGUAAAGCGUCCGCAGNNGGCUUAUCAAGUCGAUUGCAAAGGUCCUGGCUCAACUGGGAAGAGGCAGUGGAAACUGAAAAGCUAGAGUGCGGUAGGGGUAGAGGGAAUUCCCGGUGUAGCGGUGAAAUGCGUAGAGAUCGGGAAGAACACCAGUGGCGAAAGCGCUCUACUAGGCCUGCACUGACACUCAUGGACGAAAGCUAGGGGAGCGAAUGGGAUUAGAUACCCUAGUAGUCC